UUCCUUAAGGAGAUAUUAACAUAAAACUCCGGACCAAUCAGAGCGCGAGUAGGCCGCGGUAGGCGUAGGCUACGCGCUAGGCGACCGCCCUCCGCGGGCACACUCGUGCUCUGAUUGGUCCGGAGUUUUAUGUUAAUAUCUCCUUAAGGAAGCCUCGGACAACAUUUUCGCUAAGGAAAAAGUUGUUUCAAAUCACCCCCCGAAUCACCCCUUUCAAUGAUCUCCAACAUUUUUGGGACACCCUGUAUUGUAUCCUCAUGGUAUUACUAACGUAUUAUAUACUCUACUCUUCAAUAAUUAUAUUAUUCUUCUAAAGCAAAACAAACCCAGAAGAGUUUCAACACUCAAAAUUAAUAAACAAACAAAAAAAUUGUCGCUAAUAAAAAAAAUUGCAAGGAAGAAUAAAUGAACGAUCUAUGAGAUUCAGAGAUAAAUCAGCCACCGAAUACAGAAUACCGUCACCGCGAUGCGGAGAAAGUGUAUCAUGGAUCACAGCCUUGGUCUCGUUUACUCGAGCGUUUCACGCGUCUCUAUUUCGAUAACCAAAACUGAAUGAGUCGAUUCAGUAUAUUCUCCUUUCCUCUCCUUUCCUCGCUCUUCAUCGUCGCGCUAACAAUAAGGUCAGCGGAGAUAUCGCGGGUCGUUGGGACCGAGUACGAUGAAAGUGAGAAAUUGGAGCCAUCCCGAGCAGUAGGGAUUAAUCGGUAGCCGUUUAAUUCGAAACGAAUCACAGCGAAUGGGAGUGCGUUUGGAACGCAGUCUACGUGACGCGUGGCCACGCACAGACUGUCGCCUAGGAGAUUGGAUGGAAUAUUAAUCGAGGCAUGAAUAACGCUGAUCGGACGUAAAUACUUUAGUGCAUCGAUCAGUGUACGUGUCUACAACGUUGCAGACCAUUCUCCCAUUGAUAUUACACGGGCGUACGCCUACGCGCAUUGUUGGAAAUACUAACGCAAUUACAUAUAAGCUGUUCGGGACAAUUAAGGAGCUCGGUUAUUGUAUUUGUGAUGAAAGAAUGAAUUUCUCCACCUAAUGUGGCACCCCUUGGGAUCCAGUUACAUCAGCACCGAGGAGGCACCGGUUCCCAGGAGAACCGGUGAGACCCAGCGGAUUUUCAGCGAAUGUACACCGCGGAGCUUCAAUCAGAAGAGUACGCGUCCCGUAUACAUAGCUGUAAAGGUUCAUCGAACCUCGCUGCACGUACGGGUUCUCGACCAAUAAUAAAGAUGCAUGCCCGGUACCUAACUACGUUCUAUACAUACGUACGGUGUUCGGAGAAGAAUUAUCGAAGGCGCGGAGAACCAUUUCUUGUGGCAGAAGUCGUUUGUCAAUUUGGAUUGGGAGAAGAUGGAGGAGAUAGUAGGCGGAGGUUAUGUUCCGGAUGCAUUGUUGCGUAAGUGUCGCGUGGCUAUGGAAGAGUAGAUAAUAACCUGUAGUAAGUAUAUUUAUAAUACAGUGACUAUAUCGCAUUAGGUGUAGGUACUAUGAAGUGGCUGUAUUGUAGUAAGUGUAUUUAUUGUAAAAUGUUGUGAAGUAUUUUUAGUGGAAAAAGUUGUUUUAUGUAGGCUAAUAUGCUAGGAAAUAAUUGAGAUAAAAGUUUCAAAUUUGUAGGGAUGUUUCCUAUUAUUAUAAGUAACAUCUCGACCCAGUUUCAAAUCAUUCCAUCAAUUUUCACCAGAGAUAUUAAAUUGAAAGUAACCAAUUGACCAAAGUUUCAUGAAGCUUUACCAUAAAUUACUUCAUGUUUACAAGACUGGUGUAUAGAGAAAUAAUUGAGAUAAAAAUCUGAAAUAUUUAUGCCUUCUUCCCAUCUUUAUAACUAACAACUAUGCCAAGUUUCAAAUUGUUUCAUCAUUUAUUACCCGAGUUACAAAAUUAAAAGUAAC